rnacentral:rRNA from 1 species
UACGUAGGGGGCUAGCGUUGUCCGGAAUCAUUGGGCGUAAAGAGCGUGUAGGCGGCCCGGUAAGUCCGCUGUGAAAAGUCAAAGGCUCAACCUUUGAAUGUCAGCGGAUACUGCCGGGCUAGAGUCCGGAAGAGGCGAGUGGAACUCCUGGUGUAGCGGUGGAAUGCGCAGAUAUCAGGAGGAACACCAAUGGCGAAGGCGGCUCUCUGGUACGUGACUGACGCUGAGACGCGAAAGCGUGGGGAGCGAACAGG